ACUCCUACGGGAGGCAGCAGUGGGGAAUAUUGCACAAUGGGCGCAAGCCUGAUGCAGCCAUGCCGCGUGUGUGAAGAAGGCCUUCGGGUUGUAAAGCACUUUCAGUCGUGAGGAAGGCGGGUACGUUAAUAGCGUAUUCGUUUGACGUUAGCGACAGAAGAAGCACCGGCUAACUCCGUGCCAGCAGCCGCGGUAAUACGGAGGGUGCGAGCGUUAAUCGGAAUUACUGGGCGUAAAGCGCAUGCAGGUGGUUUGUUAAGUCAGAUGUGAAAGCCCGGGGGCUCAACCUCGGAAUAGCAUUUGAAACUGGCAGACUAGAGUACUGUAGAGGGGGUAGAAUUUCAGGUGUAGCGGUGAAAUGCGUAGAGAUCUGAAGGAAUACCGGUGGCGAAGGCGGCCCCCUGGACAGAUACUGACACUCAGAUGCGAAAGCGUGGGGAGCAAACAGGAUUAGAUACCCUGGUAGGACAGUG
rnacentral:rRNA from 1 species